rnacentral:lncRNA from 1 species
GGAUGGUUGAAAAAGUUGGGUGGCAGUCCAGCAGUGAGUUGUAAUAAGAAUAUCAAAUUUAUAUAUACCACUAGAUGCCAAGUCUGCUGCACAUUAUAAUCACCUGGGGGAGAUAUUAUAAGACCCAAUGCCUUGGCUUCUAUGCAAGUUACAUCAGAAUUUCUGUGAGUGGAAUUCAGAUAUCAGCAGUUUUUGAAGUUCCAGGUGAUUUCAAUAGGAAGCUAAGUUUGAGAAGAAAGAAAUUGUGAAAAAUCAGUAUCUUAUGCUGGGAAACACUGAAUACUAAUGCUAAUGUAUGGUCCUCAAAACAAGACAAAACAAAACAAAACAAAACAUAAAGAAACUCCCAACUUAAAUUUCAGUGUUUUCAAUUCUGGAAUGUUGUCAUAUUAAACAACAGUGACAGUCUUAGACCAGUUUAUAGAUCAUUUGGCUUAUGUGUUAAUUCAACUUACUGAUACCAUCACUCAAAAUAAAAAAUUUUGAGGAAAAUCAAAAGGAUUGGGCUAUGUGUUAGUAAGAUUUCCUGGGUUUUCUGCUUCUGGAUUCUGAGCAUGGAAGACUCCUUAGUACUUUUUUUUUUUUUUUUGUAGUAGCUUGUUCUUCUUUUUGUAAUUACAAUCUAAAAAUCAC